UGGGGAAUAUUGGACAAUGGGCGCAAGCCUGAUCCAGCCAUGCCGCGUGAGUGAAGAAGGCCUUAGGGUUGUAAAGCUCUUUCGCCCGCGAAGAUGAUGACGGUAGCGGGAGAAGAAGCCCCGGCUAACUCCGUGCCAGCAGCCGCGGUAAUACGGAGGGGGCGAGCGUUGUUCGGAAUUACUGGGCGUAAAGGGCGCGUAGGCGGGAUAUCAAGUCAGGGGUGAAAGGCCUGGGCUCAACCUGGGAACUGCCUUUGAAACUGGUAUUCUUGAGUCCGGGAGAGGUGAGCGGAAUUCCCAGUGUAGAGGUGAAAUUCGUAGAUAUUGGGAAGAACACCGGUGGCGAAGGCGGCUCACUGGCCCGGUACUGACGCUGAGGCGCGAAAGCGUGGGGAGCAAACAGGAUUAGAUACCCCCGUAGUCC
rnacentral:rRNA from 1 species